CAGUCGCCGCGGUAACACGAAGGGUGCAAGCGUUAAUCGGAAUUACUGGGCGUAAAGCGUGCGUAGGCGGUUUGUUAAGUCUGUUGUAAAAUCCCCGGGCUCAACCUGGGAAUGGCAAUGGAUACUGGCAAGCUAGAGUGUGUCAGAGGAUGGUGGAAUUCCCGGUGUAGCGGUGAAAUGCGUAGAGAUCGGGAGGAACAUCAGUGGCGAAGGCGGCCAUCUGGGACAACACUGACGCUGAGGCACGAAAGCGUGGGGAGCAAACAGGAUUAGAUACCCGAGUAGUCCCUGUCUCUUAUAC
rnacentral:rRNA from 1 species